UUUGAAGAUGAAGAAAAUGACAUAUAAGAAGAAGGAGACAAAACAUCAUACACAGCAAAGUGUCUCUCAUACAUGGGGUCACACAACUAACCAUCCACCAGCUCCUCAAGUCCAAUCCUCACCCUCUCUUUCUGCCCCUCAAAGAAGAACAUACAAACUAAAGCUACCUUCGACAAGCCAAAGCACAUGCACUCCUACUCAUAUUCAAUCCCCAAAUACAUUUGUUUUUCAAUCAGCAUGGACUCCUGCACCUAUUCAGUCCCCAGAUGCAUUUUUUUAGUCAUCAGUUCAAGUUAAUCCCUCAAAUGAAGAUGCUCUUCAUUCACCACCUCAAGUAGGAGAAAAUUCUCAUGUACAAGAUGAACAUGAACAAGAUGAAAAUCAGGAUACUCAGUUGGAAGUUGAACAAGAAAGGCCACCAACACACAAGGGAGCAUGGUUGGUUGAUGUUAUUGAUGACCAAUGUAAGAUGACUACCAAACACUUAAAAACAAAUGAUGUUUGGAAUUUGCCUCAAAAUGAAAGGAUUAUUGUACAUUGGAAUGAGGAAUAUCAACCAAUUGGAGAUGGUGGCGCAUUAUUGAAUCAAUUCUUGGGAAGUAUCGCUAGAAACUUAAAGGUAUUCCCUAUUUGUUAUUCUACUUGGAAGAAGAUUCCUAAAAAUUGCAAAGAAGACAUAAUUCAAAAUACCA